UUGUAUCAUGGUGACGAUCAGCGUGCAUAAAAAUUUUAAAGUGAGAAAACCAAUAAAAAAAAGAGCUUAAAUUGAAUAGAGUGAAACCCCAGACGCCAGAGGAUUUGUGCGUGCGUUUCGCGGAUUAACCAGUGGAAAGCAGUAAGAAGAAAGACAUCCACCCGAAAAGUGCAGCGGCAUAGAGGAAGCAGCGAAGGGAAGCCCAGAUUUAAGCACAAUACAUGUGAGGAGAUCUGAAGCGAGUUUCUGGGUGGCAACCCAAGCAACCUCUAAGCAACAAUCAACUAUCUGGAGGCAUAGCGCAGUAAUACGAAACCGCUAACCACCAACAUCAAGAGCACGGUCAUAAUCGCACCGCCGCGCGGCAAUAGCAGCAGCACCGCCAGAGCGCGGUCUUCACCGCCGCAUCGCGGUAUCCAGUGCCGCCAACCAGCGGCGGAGCAACAGUAGCGCCAGAGCGCGGUCUUGACCACCACCGCGCGGUAUUCAAUUGCCGGAGUAGCGGCAACAGCAACAGCCAGAGCGCGGCUAUAACCGCAACCGAAGCGCGGCAGUAGCAGCAGCCCCGCCAGAGCGCGGCCUUUACCGCCGCAUCGCGAUAUCCAGUGCCGCCAACCAGCGACAAGAGCAACAGUAGCGCCCGAGCGCGACCUUAACCACGACAGCGCUAUAUCCGCGUGCUGGAGUAGCGCACCAACAACAGCAGCAGCAGCACCGCCAGAUCGCGGCCUUAACCGCGACAGCGCGGCAUCCACGUACCGCAAACCAGCGACGGGAGCAACAGUAGCGCUAGAGCGCGGUCUUCACCGCCGCAUCGCGGUAUCCAGUACCGCUAACCACUAACAACAAGAGCGCGGUCAUAAUCGCACCGCCACGCGGCAGUAGCAACAGCACCGCCCGAGUGCGACCUUAUCCACGACAGCGCGAUAUCCGCGUGCCGGAGUAGCGCACCAACAACAGCAGCAGCAGCACCGCCAGAGCGUGGCCUUAACCGCGACAGCGCGGCAUCCACGUACCGCAAACCGGCGACAGCAACAACACCAACAACCACCAGUUACAACAACAGCAGUGCCAACCUACUAAGGCCUGCUGCAUCGGAGGGUGAGUCUUUUCGGGCCAUAAAAUAAA